rnacentral:rRNA from 1 species
GACAGAGGAUGCAAGCGUUAUCCGGAAUGAUUGGGCGUAAAGCGUCUGUAGGUGGCUUUUUAAGUCCGCCGUCAAAUCCCAGGGCUUCAACCCUGGACAGGCGGUGGAAACUACCAAGCUGGAGUACGGUAGGGGCAGAGGGAAUUUCCGGUGGAGCGGGUGAAAGUGCUGUGAGAGAUCGGAAAGAACACCAACGGCGAAAAGCACUCUGCUGGGCCGACACUGACACUGAGAGACGAAAGCUAGGGGAGCGAAUGGG